GGGUUGUGAGGUUAAGCGACCAAGCGUACACGGUGGAUGCCCUGGCAGUCAGAGGCGAUGAAGGACGUGCUAAUCUGCGAAAAGCGCCGGCGAGGUGAUAUGAACCCUUGACCCGGCGAUGUCCGAAUGGGGAAACCCAGUGUGACUCGUCACACUAUCAUUAACUGAAUCCAUAGGUUAAUGAGGCGAACCGGGGGAACUGAAACAUCUAAGUACCCCGAGGAAAAGAAAUCAACCGAGAUUCCCCCAGUAGCGGCGAGCGAACGGGGAGGAGCCCAGAGCCUGAAUCAGCAGGUGUGUUAGUGGAAGUGUCUGGAAAGGCACGCGAUACAGGGUGAGAGCCCCGUACACGAAAAUGCACCUGGUGUGAGCUCGAUGAGUAGGGCGGGACACGUGGUAUCCUGUCUGAAUAUGGGGGGACCAUCCUCCAAGGCUAAAUACUCCUGACUGACCGAUAGUGAACCAGUACCGUGAGGGAAAGGCGAAAAGAACCCCGGCGAGGGGAGUGAAAAAGAACCUGAAACCGUGUACGUACAAGCAGUGGGAGCACAGGUUUACCUGUGUGACUGCGUACCUUUUGUAUAAUGGGUCAGCGACUUAUAUUCUGUAGCAAGGUUAACCGAAUAGGGGAGCCGGAGGGAAACCGAGUCUUAAUUGGGCGUUAAGUUGCAGGGUAUAGACCCGAAACCCGGUGAUCUAGCCAUGGGCAGGUUGAAGGUUGGGUAACACUAACUGGAGGACCGAACCGACUAAUGUUGAAAAAUUAGCGGAUGACCUGUGGCUGGGGGUGAAAGGCCAAUCAAACCGGGAGAUAGCUGGUUCUCCCCGAAAGCUAUUUAGGUAGCGCCUCGUGAACUCAUCUCCGGGGGUAGAGCACUGUUUCGGCUAGGGGGCCAUCCCGGCUUACCAACCCGAUGCAAACUGCGAAUACCGGAGAAUGUUAUCACGGGAGACACACGGCGGGUGCUAACGUCCGUCGUGAAGAGGGAAACAACCCAGACCGCCAGCUAAGGUCCCAAAGUCAUGGUUAAGUGGGAAACGAUGUGGGAAGGCCCAGACAGCCAGGAUGUUGGCUUAGAAGCAGCCAUCAUUUAAAGAAAGCGUAAUAGCUCACUGGUCGAGUCGGCCUGCGCGGAAGAUGUAACGGGGCUAAACCAUGCACCGAAGCUGCGGCAGCGGCACGCAAGUGUUGUUGGGUAGGGGAGCGUUCUGUAAGCCGUUGAAGGUGUGCUGUGAGGCAUGCUGGAGGUAUCAGAAGUGCGAAUGCUGACAUAAGUAACGAUAAAGCGGGUGAAAAGCCCGCUCGCCGGAAGACCAAGGGUUCCUGUCCAACGUUAAUCGGGGCAGGGUGAGUCGACCCCUAAGGCGAGGCCGAAAGGCGUAGUCGAUGGGAAACGGGUUAAUAUUCCCGUACUUGGUGUUACUGCGAAGGGGGGACGGAGAAGGCUAUGUUGGCCGGGCGACGGUUGUCCCGGUUUAAGCGUGUAGGCUGGUUUUCCAGGCAAAUCCGGAAAAUCAAGGCUGAGGCGUGACGACGAGGCACCACGGUGCUGAAGCAACAAAUGCCCUGCUUCCAGGAAAAGCCUCUAAGCGUCAGGUAACAUCAAAUCGUACCCCAAACCGACACAGGUGGUCAGGUAGAGAAUACCAAGGCGCUUGAGAGAACUCGGGUGAAGGAACUAGGCAAAAUGGUGCCGUAACUUCGGGAGAAGGCACGCUGACAUGUAGGUGAAGCGGUUUACCCGUGGAGCUGAAGUCAGUCGAAGAUACCAGCUGGCUGCAACUGUUUAUUAAAAACACAGCACUGUGCAAACACGAAAGUGGACGUAUACGGUGUGACGCCUGCCCGGUGCCGGAAGGUUAAUUGAUGGGGUCAGCGCAAGCGAAGCUCCUGAUCGAAGCCCCGGUAAACGGCGGCCGUAACUAUAACGGUCCUAAGGUAGCGAAAUUCCUUGUCGGGUAAGUUCCGACCUGCACGAAUGGCGUAAUGAUGGCCAGGCUGUCUCCACCCGAGACUCAGUGAAAUUGAACUCGCUGUGAAGAUGCAGUGUACCCGCGGCAAGACGGAAAGACCCCGUGAACCUUUACUAUAGCUUGACACUGAACACUGGUCCUUGAUGUGCAGGAUAGGUGGGAGGCUUUGAAGCGUGGACGCCAGUCUGCGUGGAGCCGUCCUUGAAAUACCACCCUUUAAUGGCUGGUGUUCUAACGUGGGCCCCUGACCGGGGUUGCGGACAGUGUCUGGUGGGUAGUUUGACUGGGGCGGUCUCCUCCCAAAGAGUAACGGAGGAGCACGAAGGUUGGCUAAUCCUGGUCGGACAUCAGGAGGUUAGUGCAAUGGCAUAAGCCAGCUUGACUGCGAGCGUGACGGCGCGAGCAGGUGCGAAAGCAGGUCAUAGUGAUCCGGUGGUUCUGAAUGGAAGGGCCAUCGCUCAACGGAUAAAAGGUACUCCGGGGAUAACAGGCUGAUACCGCCCAAGAGUUCAUAUCGACGGCGGUGUUUGGCACCUCGAUGUCGGCUCAUCACAUCCUGGGGCUGAAGUAGGUCCCAAGGGUAUGGCUGUUCGCCAUUUAAAGUGGUACGCGAGCUGGGUUUAGAACGUCGUGAGACAGUUCGGUCCCUAUCUGCCGUGGGCGCUGGAAGAUUGAGGGGGGCUGCUCCUAGUACGAGAGGACCGGAGUGGACGCAUCACUGGUGUUCGGGUUGUCAUGCCAAUGGCACUGCCCGGUAGCUAAAUGCGGAAGAGAUAAGUGCUGAAAGCAUCUAAGCACGAAACUUGCCCCGAGAUGAAUCUUCCCUGAGACUUUAAGUCUCCUGAAGGAACGUUGAAGACGACGACGUUGAUAGGCCGGGUGUGUAAGCGCAGCGAUGCGUUGAGCUAACCGGUACUAAUGAACCGUGAGGCUUAACCUUACAACGCCGAAG
rnacentral:rRNA from 1 species